rnacentral:rRNA from 1 species
UACAGAGACUGCAAGCGUUAUUCGGAUUCACUGGGCGUAAAGCGCGCGCAGGCGGUCCUUUAAGUCUGAUGUGAAAGCCCACGGCUCAACCGUGGAGGGUCAUUGGAAACUGGGGGACUUGAGUGCAGAAGAGGAGAGUGGAAUUCCACGUGUAGCGGUGAAAUGCGUAGAGAUGUGGAGGAACACCAGUGGCGAAGGCGACUCUCUGGUCUGUAACUGACGCUGAGGCGCGAAAGCGUGGGGAGCAAACAGG